rnacentral:rRNA from 1 species
UGCAAACCAACGACGUAUAGGAGGUCUUGCCUGCCCAGUGACAAGUUAAACGGCCGCGGUAUUUUGACCGUGCGAAGGUAGCGCAAUCACUUGUCUUUUAAAUGAAGACCUGUAUGAAUGGUGAAACGAGGGCUUAACUGUCUCCCUUUUCUAGUCAAUGAAAUUGAUCUGCCCGUGCAGAAGCGGACAUAAAAAUACAAGACGAGAAGACCCUUUGGAGCUUAAGAUAUAAAGAUCACCUAUGUCAAUGAGCCCCAUACGGCAGCAAACUAAAUAGCAACUGAUCUUAAUCUUCGGUUGGGGCGACCACGGGAGAAAACAAAGCUCCCACGCGGACUGGGGUAAACCCUAAAACCAAGAAAAACAUUUCUAAGCAACAGAACUUCUGACCAUUAAGAUCCGGCUACACGCCGACCAACGGACCAAGUUACCCUAGGGAUAACAGCGCAAUCCCCUUUCAGAGUCCAUAUCGACAAGGGGGUUUACGACCUCGAUGUUGGAUCAGGACAUCCUAAUGGUGCAGCCGCUAUUAAGGGUUCG